CUUGGUCAUUUAGAGGAAGUAAAAGUCGUAACAAGGUUUCCGUAGGUGAACCUGCGGAAGGAUCAUUACAAGUAAUAAGUACACUGUACUCAUUAUAAACCCAUCUGUGUAUCUUACCCGUUGCUUCCGUGGCGUGUGGUCGACUGCCUGGCCUCUGGCCCCUUCGGCCCCCCCACGGGAGGUAUUCAUCAAACUCUUGCAUUGCCAUGACCUCAGUCUGAAAUGUAAACAACAAAAGUUAAAACUUUCAACAGCGGAUCUCUUGGUUCUCGCAUCGAUGAAGAACGCAGCGAAAUGCGAUAAGUAGUGUGAAUUGCAGAAUUCAGUGAAUCAUCGAAUCUUUGAACGCACAUUGCGCCUCCUGGUAUUCCGGGAGGCAUGCCUGUUCGAGCGUCAUUAAGGAAACCUCAAGCGAAUUUGCUUGGUCUUGGAACGCGAGCGCCGUCAGGCCCUCGGUUCCGAAAUUCAAUGGCGGAAAGUCUCACGUGCCCCGGCGUAGUAAGUUUAUCUUUCGCUUGGUCUCUGAGCCCUUCCCGCCCUCAAAUCCCCACUAUUUUAUGUUGACCUCGGAUCAGGUAGGGAUACCCGCUGAACUUAAGCAUAUCAAUAAGCGGAGGA
rnacentral:rRNA from 1 species